GACGAACGCUGGCGGCGUGCUUAACACAUGCAAGUCGAACGGAAAGGCCCUGCUUUUGUGGGGUGCUCGAGUGGCGAACGGGUGAGUAACACGUGAGUAACCUGCCCUUGACUUUGGGAUAACUUCAGGAAACUGGGGCUAAUACCGGAUAGGAGCUCCUGCUGCAUGGUGGGGGUUGGAAAGUUUCGGCGGUUGGGGAUGGACUCGCGGCUUAUCAGCUUGUUGGUGGGGUAGUGGCUUACCAAGGCUUUGACGGGUAGCCGGCCUGAGAGGGUGACCGGCCACGUUGGGACUGAGAUACGGCCCAGACUCCUACGGGAGGCAGCAGUGGGGAAUAUUGCACAAUGGGCGGAAGCCUGAUGCAGCAACGCCGGGUGCGGGAUGACGGCCUUCGGGUUGAAAACCGCUUUCGCCUGUGACGAAGCGUGAGUGACGGUAAUGGGUAAAGAAGCACCGGCUAACUACGUG
rnacentral:rRNA from 1 species